rnacentral:rRNA from 1 species
UACAGAGGAUGCAAGCGUUAUCCGGAAUGAUUGGGCGUAAAGCGUCCGCAGGUGGUUUUGUAAGUCUGCUGUUAAAGCGUUAGGCUCAACCUAAUAAGGGCAGUGGAAACUAUGAGACUAGAGUAUGUUAGGGGUAGAGGGAAUUCCCAGUGUAGCGGUGGAAAUGCGUAGAGAUUGGGAAGAAACACCGGUGGCGAAAGCGCUCUGCUAGGAACAAUACUGACACUGAGGGACGAAAGCUAAGGGGGAGCA